GACGAACGCUGGCGGCGUGCUUAACACAUGCAAGUCGAACGGAAAGGCCCUGCUUUUGUGGGGUGCUCGAGUGGCGAACGGGUGAGUAACACGUGAGUAACCUGCCCUUGACUUUGGGAUAACUUCAGGAAACUGGGGCUAAUACCGGAUAGGAGCUCCUGCUGCAUGGUGGGGGUUGGAAAGUUUCGGCGGUUGGGGAUGGACUCGCGGCUUAUCAGCUUGUUGGUGGGGUAGUGGCUUACCAAGGCUUUGACGGGUAGCCGGCCUGAGAGGGUGACCGGCCACAUUGGGACUGAGAUACGGACCAGACUCCUACGGGAGGCAGCAGUGGGGAGUAUUGCACAAUGGGCGGAAGCCUGAUGCAGCAACGCCGCGUGCGGGAUGACGGCCUUCGGGUUGUAAACCGCUUUCACCUGUGACGAAGCGUGAGUGACGGUAAUGGGUAAAGAAGCACCGGCUAACUACGUG
rnacentral:rRNA from 1 species